UCAAGCGAACAAGUGCAUGUGGUGGAUGCCUUGGCGAUCACAGGCGAUGAAGGACGCGGUAGCCUGCGAAAAGCUUCGGGGAGCUGGCAAACGAGCUUUGAUCCGGAGAUGUCCGAAUGGGGAAACCCGGCCCGUAUGGGUCAUCCCACACUGAAUCCAUAGGUGUGGGAAGCGAACGCGGCGAACUGAAACAUCUAAGUAGCUGCAGGAACAGAAAUCAACCGAGAUUCCCAAAGUAGUGGCGAACGAAAUGGGAAGAGCCUUGUACUCUUUAGCAGUGGUGUUAGCAGAACGGGAUGGAAAGCCCGGCCAUAGCAGGUGAUAGCCCUGUAUGCGAAAACACGAUUGUGGAACUAGGUGUACGACAAGUAGGGCGGGACACGUGAAAUCCUGUCUGAAGAUGGGGGGACCAUCCUCCAAGGCUAAAUACUCGUGAUCGACCGAUAGUGAACCAGUACCGUGAGGGAAAGGCGAAAAGAACCCCGGGAGGGGAGUGAAAUAGAUCCUGAAACCGCAUGCAUACAAACAGUCGGAGCCCUUUCGGGGGUGACGGCGUACCUUUUGUAUAAUGGGUCAGCGACUUACAUUCAGUGGCAAGCUUAACCGAUUAGGGAAGGCGUAGCGAAAGCGAGUCCGAACAGGGCGUUGAGUCGCUGGGUGUAGACCCGAAACCAGAUGAUCUAUCCAUGGCCAGGUUGAAGGUGCGGUAACACGUACUGGAGGACCGAACCCACUAACGUUGAAAAGUUAGGGGAUGAGCUGUGGAUAGGGGUGAAAGGCUAAACAAAUCUGGAAAUAGCUGGUUCUCUCCGAAAACUAUUUAGGUAGUGCCUCGUGUCUCACCUUCGGGGGUAGAGCACUGUCAUGGUUGGGGGGUCUAUUGCUGAUUACCCCGCCAUAGCAAACUCCGAAUACCGAAGAGUGCAAUCACGGGAGACAGACAUCGGGUGCUAACGUCCGGUGUCAAGAGGGAAACAACCCAGACCGCCAGCUAAGGUCCCCAAGAUUGGCUAAGUGGGAAACGAAGUGGGAAGGCUAAAACAGUCAGGAGGUUGGCUUAGAAGCAGCCACCCUUUAAAGAAAGCGUAAUAGCUCACUGAUCGAGUCGUCCUGCGCGGAAGAUGUAACGGGGCUAAGCCAGUCACCGAAGCUGCGGACGCACGCAAGUGCGUGGUAGGAGAGCGUUCUGUAAGCCUGUGAAGGUGUCUUGUAAAGGAUGCUGGAGGUAUCAGAAGUGCGAAUGCUGACAUGAGUAGCGAUAAAGGGGGUGAAAGGCCCCCUCGCCGUAAGCCCAAGGUUUCCUACGCAACGUUCAUCGGCGUAGGGUGAGUCGGCCCCUAAGGCGAGGCAGAGAUGCGUAGCUGAUGGGAAGCAGGUUAAUAUUCCUGCACCGUCGUAUGAUGCGAUGGGGGACGGAUCGCGGAAGGUUGUCCGGGUGUUGGAAGUCCCGGUCCCUGCAUUGGAGAAGGCGCUCAGGCAAAUCCGGGCGCGGGAUUCAAGGAUGUGGGGCGAGCGGCCUAGUGCUGCGAAGCAAUUGGAAGUGGUUCCAAGAAAAGCCUCUAAGCUUCAGUCAUACGAGACCGUACCGCAAACCGACACAGGUGGGCGAGAUGAGUAUUCUAAGGCGCUUGAGAGAACUCGGGAGAAGGAACUCGGCAAAUUGGUACCGUAACUUCGGGAUAAGGUACGCCCUGGUAGCUUGACUGGCCUGCGCCAGAAGGGUGAAGGGGUUGCAAUAAAAUGGUGGCUGCGACUGUUUAAUAAAAACACAGCACUCUGCAAACACGAAAGUGGACGUAUAGGGUGUGACGCCUGCCCGGUGCCGGAAGAUUAAAUGAUGGGGUGCAAGCUCUUGAUUGAAGUCCCGGUAAACGGCGGCCGUAACUAUAACGGUCCUAAGGUAGCGAAAUUCCUUGUCGGGUAAGUUCCGACCUGCACGAAUGGCGUAACGAUGGCCACACUGUCUCCUCCCGAGACUCAGCGAAGUUGAAGUGUUUGUGAUGAUGCAAUCUCCCCGCGGCUAGACGGAAAGACCCCAUGAACCUUUACUGUAGCUUUGCAUUGGACUUUGAACCGAUCUGUGUAGGAUAGGUGGGAGGCUUUGAAGCGUGGACGCCAGUUCACGUGGAGCCGUCCUUGAAAUACCACCCUGGUUUGUUUGAGGUUCUAACCUUGGCCCGUGAAUCCGGGUCGGGGACAGUGCAUGGUAGGCAGUUUGACUGGGGCGGUCUCCUCCCAAAGUGUAACGGAGGAGUUCGAAGGUACGCUUGGUACGGUCGGACAUCGUACCUAAAGUGCAAUGGCAAAAGCGUGCUUAACUGCGAGACCGACAAGUCGAGCAGGUGCGAAAGCAGGACAUAGUGAUCCGGUGGUUCUGAAUGGAAGGGCCAUCGCUCAACGGAUAAAAGGUACUCUGGGGAUAACAGGCUGAUACCGCCCAAGAGUUCAUAUCGACGGCGGUGUUUGGCACCUCGAUGUCGGCUCAUCUCAUCCUGGGGCUGUAGCCGGUCCCAAGGGUAUGGCUGUUCGCCAUUUAAAGAGGUACGUGAGCUGGGUUUAAAACGUCGUGAGACAGUUUGGCCCCUAUCUGCCGUGGGCGUUGGAAUCUUGACGGGGGCUGCUCCUAGUACGAGAGGACCGGAGUGGACGUACCGCUGGUGUACCUGUUGUCUCGCCAGAGGCAUCGCAGGGUAGCUAUGUACGGAAGAGAUAACCGCUGAAAGCAUCUAAGCGGGAAACUCGCCUGAAGAUGAGGAUUCCCUGGAGGCUUGACCUCCUUGAAGGGUCGUUCGAGACCAGGACGUUGAUAGGCUGGGUGUGGAAGCGCAGUAAUGCGUUAAGCUAACCAGUACUAAUUGCCCGUAAGGCUUGAUCCU
rnacentral:rRNA from 2 species